CCUACGGGAGGCAGCAGUAGGGAAUUUUCGGCAAUGGGGGGAACCCUGACCGAGCAACGCCGCGUGAACGAAGAAGUUAUUCGUAAUGUAAAGUUCUUUUAUCAGGGAAGAAAGAGGAAUUUGACGGUACCUGAGGAAUAAGCUCCGGCUAACUACGUGCCAGCAGCCGCGGUAAUACGUAGGGAGCGAGCGUUAUCCGGAAUUACUGGGCGUAAAGCGUCCGCAGCCGGUUUAUUAAGUAUAGAAUAAAACUUCGGGGCUCAACCCCGUCUCGUUCUAUAAACUGAUAGACUAGAGUGUGGUAG
rnacentral:rRNA from 1 species